AGAGUUUGAUCCUGGCUCAGGACGAACGCUGGCGGCGUGCCUAAUACAUGCAAGUCGAGCGAAUCUUCAGGAGCUUGCUCCUGAAGAUUAGCGGCGGACGGGUGAGUAACACGUGGGCAACCUGCCUGUAAGACUGGGAUAACUUCGGGAAACCGGAGCUAAUACCGGAUAAUCCUUUUCCUCUCAUGAGGAAAAGCUGAAAGAUGGCGCAAGCUAUCACUUACAGAUGGGCCCGCGGCGCAUUAGCUAGUUGGUGAGGUAAUGGCUCACCAAGGCGACGAUGCGUAGCCGACCUGAGAGGGUGAUCGGCCACACUGGGACUGAGACACGGCCCAGACUCCUACGGGAGGCAGCAGUAGGGAAUCUUCCGCAAUGGACGAAAGUCUGACGGAGCAACGCCGCGUGAACGAUGAAGGCUUUCGGGUCGUAAAGUUCUGUUGUUAGGGAAGAACAAGUACUGGAGUAACUGCCGGUACCUUGACGGUACCUAACCAGAAAGCCACGGCUAACUACGUGCCAGCAGCCGCGGUAAUACGUAGGUGGCAAGCGUUGUCCGGAAUUAUUGGGCGUAAAGCGCGCGCAGGCGGUUCCUUAAGUCUGAUGUGAAAGCCCCCGGCUCAACCGGGGAGGGUCAUUGGAAACUGGGGAACUUGAGUACAGAAGAGGAAAGCGGAAUUCCACGUGUAGCGGUGAAAUGCGUAGAGAUGUGGAGGAACACCAGUGGCGAAGGCGGCUUUCUGGUCUGUAACUGACGCUGAGGCGCGAAAGCGUGGGGAGCAAACAGGAUUAGAUACCCUGGGUAUCCCCUGCCGAAACGAUGAGUGCUAGGGGUGGAGGAUUUUCCCCCUUUUCCGCUGCGUAAAUCACAUUAUACACGCCCCCUGUGGAGAACAGUCGCGAGACUGAAACUCUCAGGAAUUGACGGGGGCCCCCGCAAGCGGUGGAGAAUGUGGUUAUUUUCUCAAUGCCGCGAAAAAACUUAUAAGGUCUUGACAUCCUCUGACAACCCACCUGAUAACACGUGCUCCUUCUGCGGACAGAUUGACAGUGUGUGCAUGGGUGUGUCGUCCUCUCGUGUCGAGAUAUGUUGGGUUAAGUCCCGCAACGAGCGCACCCUCUUGAUCUGUUGUGACAGCAUUCUGUUGGGCACUCUUAGGUGACUGCCGGUGACAACUCGGAGGAAGGUGGGGACGACGUCAAAUCAUCAUGCCCCUUAUGACCUGGGCUACACACGUGCUACAAUGGACGGUACAAAGGGCUGCAAUACCGCGAGGUGAAGCUAAUCCCAUAAAACCGGUCUCAGUUCGGAUUGCGGCUGCAACUCGCCGCAUGAAGUGGAAUCGCUAGUAAUC
rnacentral:rRNA from 1 species